rnacentral:rRNA from 1 species
GACAGAGGCCUCAAGCGUUAGGCGGAAUCACUGGGCUUAAAGCGUGUGUAGGCGGAUCGUUAAGUGCCUUGUGAAAUCCCACGGCUUAACUGUGGGAACGGCUGGGCAUACUGGCGGUCUUGAGCCAUCUAGGGGCGACUGGAACAAACGGUGGAGCGGUGAAAUGCGCAGAUAUCAGGAAGAACACCCGUGGCGAAAGCGGCUCUCUGGAACGGUACUGACGCUGAGACGCGAAAGCGUGGGGAGCGAACAGG